GAAAGUGUGAGGAAAAACGCCAAACGGGGUGGAAACAAGGUCACACUCCCGGGAGACGUUUUGGA
rnacentral:ncRNA from 2 species